CCUACGGGUGGCAGCAGUGAGGAAUAUUGGUCAAUGGGCGAGAGCCUGAACCAGCCAAGUCGCGUGAGGGAGUACUGCCCUAUGGGUUGUAAACCUCUUUUGUCGGGGAGCAAAAGCCGGACGUGUCCGGCUGUGAGAGUUCCCGAAGAAAAAGCAUCGGCUAACUCCGUGCCAGCAGCCGCGGUAAUACGGAGGAUGCGAGGGUUAACCGGAUUUAUUGGGUUUAAAGGGUGCGAAGGCGGAGUUUUAAGUCAGGGGGAAAAUCGGGGGGCUAAACCCCAUCCAGCCGUUGAAACGGGGGAGCUAGGGUGUGGGAGAGGUAUGGGGAAUGGGUGGUGUGGCGGGGAAAUGCAUAGAUAUCACGCAGAACCCCGAUUGCGAGGGCAGCAUACCGGUGCACAACUGACGGUCAGGCACGAAAGCGUGGGUAUCGAACAGGAUUAGAUACCCCUGUGUC
rnacentral:rRNA from 1 species